GCACUUUGACCAGGGAACGGGCUGUUGGAAUUAAUGUGGGUUAUGCCCAUAUUAUUUUCAAUUAAAUCAUAUAAAUUCAAAGGCUAUAUAAAUUGCUAGGUGCAAUAAAAUGGUGGUCUGAAUGUAUUUGAUGACUGAACUAGUAACAGUUACAUUAUGGUUGCGGUUACCAGUAACCCCCAUGCUAAAGGCAGAGGUUACUAGUGAAUAAUGGACACUUAUGUCGUCCAGGUUCAUCCUCUACACUUCACCUUCCAUAGGCUAUAAGAAGGAGUCCUUUUUCAGCCAUAUACACGAGUACGAACGCAUCUCAGCCUUCCCUGUUGAAUUGCCUUCUGAGUUCUUCCCGUCCCGGACCUCUGCGCACACAGAGGAUCGGGAGAGCAGGCCUCCGGAACCACGCCCGGGCCUGUGACACCUGCUCGGGUGUGCCGAGCGAUCAGGUUUUUGGGGAGCGUAUCACGGCGCGACUGCUCGCUCUUUCCCGGCGAUCGCGAUCUUCAUCGACUCCUCUUCGCGCGCCUGAUCUACGACAGCAAUCGGCUGCGCGUUCCUCCUGCAUCGGCUGCACGCAUUCCUGCAUUGGUUGCGUGUUCGUACGAGGGACUGCACUGCGAACCUCGUCCUGCACCGAAUUUGUACGACGACUUCAAGCAACGUACCAUGGCAACUGGUGCGAAUGGAGCCGCCGGUGCCUUCGGCACUGGUCCCUCCGCAGGGUACAUUCUGAUCCUAUUUCUAUUUAUCGGUUUUCUUGUGAUGUUAACUGGUAACGUAGAAAAUGCGAAAACUAUCAUCACAUAUUUGCUGCUAUUUUCCCGAUUAAUAUGGAUUAAAUUUAACAUGAAUAUGCCUAAAUUUCUAACAAUCCAAAAACCUGAUCGGCAUUUUUCUGUUAGUGGUUUUGCUGCUGCGUUGAAACUGGAACCGUUUGAUGGCUCGUUUUAUAAGAGGUGGAGGUCUCGGAUGAUACUGUGGUUGAUAGCGAUGAACUGCUACCAGGUUGCACAGGGGAAGCCUGAACAGUACACUCCUGAGGAGGAGAGUCGGUUCGAGGCAGCCGAUAACCUAUUUCGAGGCGGUGUGAUAAGCGCUCUUGCUGAAAAAUAUGUUGAUUCCUACCUCUCUUUUAAAACUAGGAAGGAAUUAUGGGAUGCAUUGGAUGAAAAAUUUGGUGUUUCUAAUGCUGGGAGUGAGUUGUAUCUCAUGGAGCAGCUUUACGACUAGAAGAUGGUAGGGGACCGUCCUGUUGUUGAACAAGCUCAUGAGAUACAAGUUCUGGCAAAGGAACUCGAACAAAUGGACAAGACCCGUCCAUGCGCGUUGCCUGACAAGUUUGUGGCUGGCGGUAUCAUCGCUAAGCUGCCACCUUCUUGGAAGGAUUUUGCUACUUCUCUAAAGCACAAGAGGCAAGAGUUCAGCGUGGCUGAUCUCAUUGGGACUCUUGAUGUUGAGGAGAGGGCGAGAGCAAAGGAUACGCGCGGGAAAGGCGUCGAGUCUUUUAGUGCCAAUGUGGUGCAGAAGAAAAAUUCCAAUGCAUCUCAUAAUAAAAGGAAGAAGCAGGAGAAGAAAGAUAAGCCAAAGCAAACAACCAUGUUCAAGAAGUAAAAGGGCAAGAAAAAGAAUGAGGGCUGUUUUGUUUGCGGGAGCACUGAGCAGUGGGCAAGUGCGUGCCCAGGCAAAUAUGUUCAGCCAAAGAAAUCAGCAAACAUGGUGAUUAGCGAGGCUGCAGGAACAUAGGGGCCGGCGUGACAGGAGAUUUGUUGAUGGGGAACGGAUCGCAUGCGUGUGUUCUUGGUGUUGGUAUGGUAAAUCUGAAGUUUGCUUCGGGGAAGACCGUGCAGCUGAAGAACAUACAGCAUAUCCCCUCCAUCAAGAAAAAUCUAGUUAGCGGCUCUCUACUGUGUAGAGAUGGUUUUAAAAUAGUUCUUGAGUCGAAAUAAAUGUGUACUUUCUAAGUAUGGGACAUUUGUUGCAAAAAGCUAUGUGUGCGGAGGCUUGUUCUGCUUUUCUUUGCAUGAUGAUGGCUGUAAUAAUGUGGCGAACAAUGUUUUAAUUUCGAAUGAGUCGAAUAUUUGGCAUUCACGGCUUUGUCAUGUAAAUUUCGGUUGUAUGUCGCGGUUAGCAAA